AGGGCUUAACUGUCUCCCCUCCCCAGUCAAUGAAAUUGAUCUCCCCGUGCAGAAGCGGGGAUAAUUCCAUAAGACGAGAAGACCCUAUGGAGCUUUAGACGUCAGAGCAGCCCAUGUAAAGCACCCCUUAACAAAGGAAAAAACCAAAUGAAGCCUGCCCUAAUGUCUUUGGUUGGGGCGACCGCGGGGAAAUACAAAACCCCCAUGUGGAGUAGGAAUACACAUUCCUAAACCCAAGAGCUCCCGCUCUAAUGAACAGAAAUUCUGACCAAUAAGAUCCGGCACACGCCGAUCAACGGACCGAGUUACCCUAGGGAUAACAGCGCAAUCCCCUUAAAGAGCCCUUAUCGACAAGGGGGUUUACGACCUCGAUGUUGGAUCAGGACAUCCUAAUGGUGCAGCCGCUAUUAAGGGUUCGUUUGUU
rnacentral:rRNA from 1 species